rnacentral:lncRNA from 1 species
GGUCUGCGUGUGCUUAGAACUAGACUAGUCUAUUACUAUUAGUUCAUCGUCGAUCCGUCGUCCCAUGCCCUCCUCAGAGACAGACCACGCCACAGAAGCCGCUAAAAUGGUGUUUUCGAGAUGUUUUAAGAGGGGCAGGUAGACACUUGAUGACAAUCAACGCAAAGGCACAAGGUCACUGUCAAGAUAAAGGAGAAAUGGCAUGUGUACUCCACCGAUUGUGAGAAGGGGCUCUUGAUUAUCCUUUGAAAAAAGUGGUAGAUCAAGUUGAUCCAGUGUAACAGUAGCAGCAAAUCUAUGAGAUUUCAUAUGGGAUCCCUUUAAGUACAAGGUCUACGCAGCUUCACACACGCACUGAGAGGGACCUGGCAGAGGCUAAUAGCAUGGCCCUUGGUAUGAUCAGCCUAAGGUUAAGGUUGAUUCAACGAGACAUUAAAUGGAGAUUUUUCAGUGAAUAUUUUUUUAAUGUUUAAUUCCAGAUAUUUAAUUGUCUCAAGUAAAAAAAUAUGUGUUCACUAGUGUUGAUUUGAAAAAAAAGCUCCUGCUGUGGCAAUCGAAAAGAGCGCUAUAUUUUGAUUUCUUACAAAGAAGUUUCAGAACCUAUGACUAUAAAAUUUCACACUUUAUAUCUAAAGGGUUUAAUUAUUUAAAAUAAUUUGCAAGUUUCUUGGAGGUUACACAAAUUUGAAAAAGUGUAAUUUGUAAGAGUUUACAGAACUCAAUAUCACUGUAUUUUGAUGAUAUUUAAUUUGGGUUUGAAUUAGAGCAAACAAUUUAAGAUUAUACAAGUUAAACAAAUAGGGUGUGUAGUUUGAUAAAUGUGGGAUAUCCAUUUGUUUCAUUAUACUACAAAUUUUUGUGAAAGGUCGAUCAUCCACUAUUGUUAGAGGAAACCUCACAAAACCUCACCCUAAAGAAUAAGCGUAGGUAUUCUGAAAAGUGAGAUGUAUUUCUGCCGGCCCUAUGAUGUACAAAAUUCCUUACGAAAAUGGAAAAGAGCUACCGGUAUGUAGGAUGCGAAAGUUAAUGUGGUUAGAUGAGCAAGUGUGCACUUGUAAAAAUGACACCUGGCUGGAAUGAUCCCCAGGAAGUAGAGAAUGUGCAUACAUAGUGUGCGGGUAAGCCUGAAUCUGAUGACCGGGGUAAUAAUAUAUCUGUAAAGCACUUAGAGACAUCAUACGCUAUAUAAAAGCGGAAUCAUUAUUAUUAUUAUUUUAUUUUAGGCCUCAGAUGAAGGAAAUGGGUGCCGAAAGAUAUCCUUUGAGCACCUUAUCUCUGCCAAAACUGCAUUAAUAAUUUAGCACUUUAUGUAAAGUCCAUUAGAUAAUAUUUAUUUGAUGGUAUUAUCGUAAUGGCAUUCAGGAAAAGUCAACUUCAGGUGUACAAUCAUCUUGCAACUAAUAAACCUUAUAUGUGAUUUAAAUAGUUUGUAAAAUGAUUAGAAUAAUGAUAAAAGGAUAUGAGAAUGGUUAUGGUAUACCACUUAUAAGCUUGUAUUACAAGAUGAUUUCAACAUAAAAAAUAAACCCAAACAAGCAAAAAUAUUGAGCAUUCAACCAUACUAUUUUUUAAAGAUGUGUAUGUACACAAGAACCAAAUGAGAUCACUUUAAGGCGCCACGGAGGCAUAUAUUACAUGUAGUGUCUUAUAGCUCAUGCAAAAGUUGGUAACCCCCUGCCUAACUAUUUGUUCAGGUUUUUCUGAUAUGUGUUGCUAGAUAGCAAGAUGAUUACCAUUCUACAAGCUCCUUGAAAUUAUUUCUUGCAAAAGUUGAAUACUGUACUAAAACAUAAGAGGUGACAAUUAUUAGUCCCCUGUCAUCAUCUAAAUUCCUAUAUGGCUUCUUUUCUUUUCUGUAACCAUGUUAAAUAUCACAAACUAGUUAUUAAAAGCUCCAUAAGUUUUCUGAAUUCAAAGGUGACCAAGUGCCUACCGGUACUUCAUUCUUAUUAUUUACUUUGACUGGCCUUAUUAUCUCUUGUGCUAUGUUUCAGGUGUGGGCAACACAUCCAUAUUUGUGUGGGCGUAUUAAACCUGACUGCAGCUAUUGCUCUUUGUACAUUAAAUAUGUAACAAAUGAAAGCAUUGUAAAGUUGUAAACAUGUUUACGGCAUAGCUUCUGUAUGAGGCUAUUGAUAUAUCACCUGUGUAAAUAUAUACAUUAUUUCAAUAACAUUUGCUAUUUUUUGUGGGGAUAAUAGUGCUAUACAUUCCAUUCAAAUAUACAAACAGACCGGUUUUAUUGUACAUAGGUCAUGCUGAAAUAUAAUAGUGUAAAUGAAGAAAAAUUACCAUGUAGUAAAUAUGAUUUCAGGAACACGAUGUUGGUUUGCUGCAAUUCGAGAAUUGCUGUGUUGACAAUUGUUCCGGGCUUUAGUUUAACAAAAUUGUAGGGUUAGGGUUAAGGUUAGAUUAAUAUUUAAGCAAGAUUUAGGGUUAGGUAUAGUAUUGGUCCAGGAUUAAAGUUAGUAAUUCAUUUAAUGUUGGGAACUAUUGUGAAGCAAUUUUAGUAGGAGCAUGUGUCACAAAACUCAAUUUUUCCUCACAUUUUGUAGGAGGUAUUAUACUUAAGUAUUCAUCAUGGAAUACCCAAACAAAGUCUGUUUUGUAUGUGCUUUAUUUUUUGUUUGGUGUGCAUGUUGAUAUUUCUGACUGUAGUAGUAGUAGUAGUAAUAGUAGUAGUAGUAGUAGUAGUAGUAGUAUAGUAGUAGUAGUAGUAGUAGUAUAGUGGUAGUAGUAGAAAUUAGUUUUACAAGCUCAGUUUUAAAAAGCCUCUCAACAAAACUUAAUAUAGACAAGUACAAAUAAUACACAGUACAAUAGGUGACAACUUAUUACUUAUUCCAUACUUGCAAACAAAUUGAUGAUAAAAAUAGAAUAGAUUCGUCAUUAGUAUUAUUUUUUAUAAUUAUUGUUAAGUGAGGAAUAUUCAUAUUUUAAAUAGAAAUCGAGACUGAUUAAUUGAGUGUGUGACAAGUAAAUACUGAAGAUUUGUUUGAUUUUGAACCAUAUUAAAAUGCAAAUUUAUUGCCUA